CAGCAGGAUGUGCCGGAUUUUAUUUUGGACUGGGGUAUUUUGGCUGAAACAUCAGCUGAAUUUUGAGUCGCAGCAAAACACAUUUAACCCUUUCGUUCUGUCCACAUCCUCGAGGCACUCGAAUAAAUCUCAAUUACCUGUGGCAACAAAUCACUGGCUGUGCUAAUGUAUUACAAGUUGCACUAAAGCAGCCACAGUGACAACUCAACUAAUUCGGUCUUAGACAACAUAGUGGAAAGUAGUUCUUUCGCAAUUUAUUAAAGCCUCUUACUUUGAUAUUUAGCUCCCAAGUGGAGCAUAUUCAUUGCACUUGAUUGCAUGCCACCGAACACAAAGGACAUCGUAAUUGAGCAGCCAUGAAGACAGUCCAAAUCGAGCUGCAUCCAAAACCGCCUGUCACGGCUCAUCAAGCUUUUAAAGGCGCAAAGGACGAAAAGGACGAUAAGGACUAUGAGGACGAUAAGGAAUAGGUUCCACCCUAAUGGACGCCCAAGUGGCAAUGUGAAUGCGAGUGUGUCUUGCAGAUGUGGCGAAAGUAACUCAAAAGGAUCCUAAAGAGUAUCCAGCAAGGAUAUCCAGCAAGGAUAUCCAGCAAGGAGCCGAAAUUCCCGGCCAGUAGACAUGCGAAAUGUCAGUAGUAUAUCAUUUUUUAGUGAAGUGCAACCGCAGCAGCCGCAAAGGGGCGGCCGAAGGGAGGGGGGCGUGGCCUAGACCCAGACCCCCAGACAAACACACACAUGUACUCGUUGGCAGACUCAGACACAGACACACACGCAAAUACAGAUACAGAUACAGAUACCUAUACAAAUACAGAAGCUGGCCCAAAAACGCCCGCACUUGAAUUAAACAUCUUUCACAUUUCGCAAUUGUACGUUGAAUCCUGCUUCCAUAUGCACCCACACACACACACACACACACACACACACACGUCCUGCAUGUGUGUGCGAGUGUAGAUAUGUGUGUGUUAAACCAAUUUGUCUGACUGCCUGCAGAUGUGUUUGUGAGUCGGCUGUAGUUCUUGUUUUUGUGUCUCUCAACGAAAGGAGAUCGAAAUGUUUGCAAAUUAACUAAGUACAAGAUCUAAAUUGUAAUGUUUUAAAUUAUCAUGUCUGUUACAAAUUUAGGUUUUAAAGGAAAAAUCUGAAAAAAAAAGCAUUUGAAUGAAGUAUAUAUAAGCAGAUAUAUUUUAAGACUUCUUUAAAAACAGAGACCUAGAAAACUUGUAUAUUUUUCCUUGAUUAUUACAACUCGCAAAAAUAUGCAUUAAAUAUUCUGUAACUUUUCGAUCUCCUCGCUGCAUUUUCAGCCAAAAACUAAAGCUGUUUCGUGGGCGGGGUGGGGAAUUUAAUGCGAGCAGCUGCUGCCUUUUUCCUUCGCUUUUCCUGCUCAAACUCUUGCCGCUCUUUUUGGCCAUCUUUUUGAUAUUAACGCUGGCUGCGACGUCGACUGCGACUGCGACUGCGACUGCAACUGCGACGCCUUCUUGGUCGUCGUCGCCUUCAUAAGAAAUUCAUAAGUAUUUCCGCUUGCCUGAUUUUUGAUUCGGUAAUUAAAAUGCAACUGAGAUUGCGCUGCUCCACGUGUGUUAGCUGCUUUUUGGGCGAAAAACCUCCACACUCGUACACUUCUACAUACAUAUGUACAUACAUACAUAUAUAGUACUUGUGCAGCCAACAAACAUUUUUCUCAUAUGGGAGACGUGGAAAACUUGACGCUGUUUUUGCCUAGUUGAGGUUGCAUAAAUCUGGAGAUUGCUUAUAUUUUCUCGCUGGCUUAUUCUUGUGGUGCCACUACAUCACUAUAUUAGUUGCAUGCGGCAACUGAAACAAACACAUCUAAUUUCAGCUUGCAGUUGACUUCUUUGCGGCUUUCAUGUAGCUCUACUUAAAAAUAAAUGUAAAAAAUAAUGUAAGUUCAAGUUAGUAAUAUUAAGCACAGGAAAUAUAAUAUUUGUUUUAAGAUUUCAAACUUUAUUGUACUUUCUAAGACAGGAUUCAUUUGUGACAUUAUUUUUUAAAGAAUUUUUUGGAAUUUAUACCUUUUUUAAUAACUCUAAUCAUUGUACAUCACUUGUACAGCACAUCAGAUUGUUGUCGGGAGUGUUUUUGCCAACUCACAUAUUAAUAUAUAUAUACAUAUAUAUAUGUGGGGGAUAUACUACCUCACUAUAGAUGGGGAAAGGAAAAGCGUGGAGCUGCGGAAACUGUUAUUCCAGGUGCUCCCUGGGCCCGACAGCUGAUUGCUUUGGCAUUGCAAGUAGUCGAGCUUUGAUUACUCGAACGGUUUCUAAGCACCAAAAGGGGAGCCACACCACUCACCACCCACCACCCAUCACCCACCCAUCUCGUCCUCAAACAGCCCAUCCUUUUACAAGCAGUCAGUCCCCUCAUCAUUCCGUUUGGUUCCAUUCUGGGGCAAUGCAACAGUGGCAAAACGCAUUAUCUGCUUCAGCUGUCAAGUGGAAAGUGGCAAGUGGAAAGCGGCAAGUGGCGGGGUGGAGUUUGGCUGGUUGGAAUCGGGUAGAAAAUCGGGGGAAAAUCGGAGGAAAAUCGGAGGAAAAUCGGGGAAAAGUGCGGGGGGAAAUGCGGCAAGUGGAGAGCGCAAAGCGAAGCUAAAGAAAUAUAUUUUGCAAUUUCAUUUACAAAAGUUUAUCUUGGAGUGCGCGUUUUGCGCCAGGAAACGGACUGCGACUGCGAAUGCGACUGCGACCAGGUGGAACCAGGUGGAGGAGGCCCAGAUUCAGAUGGAGGACCACGGCCAGGAUCGGGAACAGGACGAGGCGCAGGACGAAAAAGAUCAAGCCAUCAAAUGUCAAACUCAAGAGGUCGAGGCUGGAAAUGCCCUUACUUUGAGUGUGGGAAUAUCAAACAAUUACUGUUUUAAAUUCAAGAAUAACAAUGGUAGCUUUAGAAUAUUAAGAUUAUUUUAAAAGAAAUACUUUUAAACAAUUUAAAACAAGCAAAAACACAAUUAUAAAUAAGUUUAAUUAUAUCCCAGUAUUUUAGAGCACGAAAUUGUUGUCAACGGUAGUUAAACGUGAAAGAAAUGUAAAUCAACGACCAUUUUCUCAAUUAUACAUUUUAAAUCAA